rnacentral:rRNA from 1 species
AGUGAACGCUGGCGGUAGGCCUAACACAUGCAAGUCGAACGGCAGCACAGUAAGAGCUUGCUCUUACGGGUGGCGAGUGGCGGACGGGUGAGGAAUACAUCGGCAUCUACUUUUUCGUGGGGGAUAACGUAGGGAAACUUACGCUAAUACCGCAUACGACCUACGGGUGAAAGCAGGGGAUCUUCGGACCUUGCGCGAUUGAAUGAGCCGAUGUCGGAUUAGCUAGUUGGCGGGGUAAAGGCCCACCAAGGCGACGAUCCGUAGCUGGUCUGAGAGGAUGAUGAGCCCGACUGGAGCUGGGAGACGGCCAAGACUCCAAGGGGAGGCGGCAGUGGGGAAUAUGGGAGAAUGGGGUGGAGCUUGAUCGACCAUGGCGGCGGGAGUGAGGAAGGACUUCGGUGUGCAAGAUGUUGUUUUUGGGAAAGAAAAGAGGUGUCAGAAACGCCGCAAGUUUUGACGGUACCUAAAGAAAAAGCCCCGGCUAAGUACGUG